GAAUUUUAUAUAAAUUUGUUAUAUCUAUUUUAUGGAUAAGUAUUUAAUGAUUUUAUAUUUUAUUGGGAGGAUAGAUAAAUUAAAAAAACUUUAAUAAAUAAUAAAUCCAUUAAUUUAUGAAUUUUAAUUAAAUGAGUGAUUCAAUGAGUUUAAAAAGAAUUAAUUACCUUAGGGAUAACAGCGUAAUAUUUUUAGAGAGAUCUUAUUAAUAAAAAUGAUUGC
rnacentral:rRNA from 1 species